AUCUAUGGCCAUACCACCCUGAACGCGCCCGAUCUCGGCUGAUCUGGGAAGCUAAGCAGGGUUGGGCCUGGUCAGUGCUUGGAUGGGAGAAAAUAAAAUCUGGUUUGUGUGCCAAGGAGC
rnacentral:rRNA from 1 species